AGUGAUCUGCCCACCUCACCCUCCAAAAGUGCUGGGAUUACAGGUGUGAGCCACUGCACCUGCCGUGGUUUAGGGUUUUAACGUGGGCUUUCAUUUCCAAGUGUUCCUGUAUGAAUUACAACCCAGUCUCCCCAUGAUAGGGAGUGUGAGUCCCCGUAGAACCAGAACAACCGUCGUCCUUACCAAGCACUACACAUUAGCUUAUUGCUGGCUGUGUGACCGGAGGAGUUCCCUGACCCUCUCUGUGCCUGUUUUCUUAUUUUUAAACAGGAAUAAAAAUACAGGCCAGAGAGUCCGUGAAAUGCUUACACGCAUGCUAGAAGCUGGCUGUUUUUACUGGGGGCUCUAAUUUUGUGUGUUUGGAUUUCCUGGACCCCAGCUGACAGGAGUAUUUUCUCCCGCAGGCCCAUCAGUUACAAGUCCUGUCCCUUCUGACCUCCAGGCCCCACGGCUAGCAUUACAGCCUGGAGUCAAAGUUCUGGGUGAGCUGUGUAUCUUUGG
rnacentral:lncRNA from 1 species